rnacentral:tRNA from 2 species
GGGAUCUUAGUUUUAAAGAGAAAUAUAUGAUUUGCAUUCAUAAGGUUUAGAUUCUA